UUUUUAAAUCUUUUUUUAUAA
rnacentral:tRNA from 1 species